rnacentral:lncRNA from 1 species
AUGGCUGUUCCAUCCUCUCUAGCCUUGUCCCCUCUGUCCCCAUCCCUGUCCUCUCCAUCUCCAUCCGUUUCCCAUCCCUCUCCUGUCCCAGUGCCACCUUGUCCCCAGCCCCAUCCUGUCCCCUCAAUGGCAGCUCCAUUCUUUCUACUCUUGUCCCCUCUGUCCCACCCAUCCCAGUCCUGUCCCAGUGCCACUCUGCCUAGGGGACAGACGGGACUCCAUCCCCUGUCCCAGUGCCACCCUGUCCCCCAACGGCUGCUCCAUCUCCUCUACCCUUGUCCCCUCUGUCCCUCUCCCUGUCCUGUGCCACCCUGUCUGGGGGACAGAUGGGCUCCAUCUCCAUCCUGUCCCCUCCAUCUCCAUCCUGUCCCCAUCCCAGUACCAUCUUGUCCCCCAGCCCCAUCUCCAUCCCCAUCCUGUCCCCCCCACGGCUCCUCCAUCCUCUCUACCCUUGUCCCCAUCCCUGUCCUCUCCAUCUCCAUCCCCUUCCCAUCCCUCUCCUGUCCCAGUGCCACCUUGUCCCCAGCCCCAUCCUGUCCCCCCCAUGGCUGCUCUGUCCUCUCAUGUCCCCUCUGUCCCCACCCCUGUCCCCCCCCACAGCUGCUCCAUCCUCUCUACUUGUCCCCUGUCCCCUCCAUCUCCAUCCCCAUCCUGUCCCCCCCACAGCUGCUCCAUCCUCUCUACUCUUGUCCCCUUGUCCCUUCUGUCCCCAUCCUGUCCAUCUCCAUCCCUUCCCCAUCCCAGUGCCAUCUUGUCCCCAGCCCCAUCUCCAUCCUGUCCCCACCAAGCCUGCUCCAUCCUCUCUACCUGUCCCCUGUCCCCAUCCCUCGCCUGUCCCAGCGCCACCCUGUCCCCAGUCCCAUCUCCAUCCCGUCCCCAACCCCACCCCUGUCCUGUCCCAUCGAUUGUCCCAUCACCAUCCUGCCCCUCAUCCCCCUUGUCCCCAUCCUUGUGUCCCCCCUCAUCUCUGUCCCCAUCCUUGUGUGUCCCCCCCCCAGCUACUCCACCCUUGUCCCCAUCCUUGUGUCCCCCCCCCCGGCCCCACAGACGGGACACGCUUCCAAAAACACCCUUUUUAUUUAC